rnacentral:rRNA from 1 species
AGUGAACGCUGGCGGUAGGCCUAACACAUGCAAGUCGAACGGCAGCACAGUAAGAGCUUGCUCUUACGGGUGGCGAGUGGCGGACGGGUGAGGAAUACAUCGGAAUCUACUUUUUCGUGGGGGAUAACGUAGGGAAACUUACGCUAAUACCGCAUACGACCUACGGGUGAAAGCAGGGGAUCUUCGGACCUUGCGCGAUUGAAUGAGCCGAUGUCGGAUUAGCUAGUUGGCGGGGUAAAGGCCCACCAAGGCGACGAUCCGUAGCUGGUCUGAGAGGAUGAUCAGCAACACGGUAACUGAGACACGGUCCAGACUCCUAAGGGAGGCAGCAGUGGGGAAUAUUGGACAAUGGGCGGAAGCCUGAUCCAGCCAUACCGCGUGAGUGAAGAAGGCCUUCGGGUUGUAAAGCCCUUUUGUUGGGAAAGAAAAGCAGCAGGUUAAUACCCCGCUGUUCUGACGGUACCCAAAGAAUAAGCACCGGCUAACUUCGUG